rnacentral:rRNA from 1 species
GAUGAACGCUGGCGGCGUGCCUAAUACAUGCAAGUCGAGCGAACAGACGAGGAGCUUGCUCCUCUGACGUUAGCGGCGGACGGGUGAGUAACACGUGGAUAACCUACCUAUAAGACUGGGAUAACUUCGGGAGACCGGAUCUAAUACCGGAUCAUAUAUUGAACCGCAUGGUUCAAUAGUGAAAGACGGUUUUGCUGUCACUUAUAGAUGGUUCCGCGCCGCAUUAGCUAGUUGGUACGGUAACGGCUUACCAAGGCGACGAUGCGUAGCCGACCUGAGAGGGUGAUCGGCCACACUGGAACUGAGACACGGUCCAGACUCCUACGGGAGGCAGCAGUAGGGAAUCUUCCGCAAUGGGCGAAAGCCUGACGGAGCAACGCCGCGUGAGUGAUGAAGGUCUUCGGAUCGUAAAACUCUGUUAUUAGGGAAGAACAAAUGUGUAAGUAACUAUGCACGUCUUGACGGUACCUAAUCAGAAAGCCACGGCUAACUACGUG